rnacentral:rRNA from 1 species
UAUUGGAGUUCGAUUAAGCCAUGCGAGUCCAGAGCUUUCGGGGCUCGGCGUACCGCUCAGUAACACGUGGGUAACCUAACCUAUGCAGGGGAAUAACCUCGGGAAACUGAGAAUAAUGCCCCAUAGUCCACUACGCCUGGAACGGUGAGUGGAUGAAAGCUCAGGCGGCAUAGGAUGGGCCUGCGGCGUAUCAGGUUGUAGGGGGUGUAAAGUACCCUCUAGUCCUCUACGCGUACGGGUGUUGGGAGACAUAGCCCGGAGAUGGAUUCUGAGACACGAAUCCAGACCCUACGGGGUGCAGCAGGCGCGAAAACUUGGCAAUGCGAGCAAUCGUGACCAGGGAACUCCAAGUGGCUGGGGUAAGACCCAGUCUUUUCAGAACUCUUCAAAGGUUUUAGAAUAAGGGGUGGGUAAGGA